GGCAUUCACUACUGUAAGUCGCUCUGGAUAAGAGCAUCUGCUAAAUGGCUAAAA
rfam:Salmo salar isolate Sally breed double haploid chromosome ssa01, whole genome shotgun sequence.